CCGAGCGGCGCAGGCAGCCGGGGGCGCCGCCGCUGCUGCCUCGGGGCCUGGGCGACGCCGCGCUCUCUUCCUCCGCCCCGCCGCUACCUAUGGCCGCUCCGCGCUCCUGAGGCGAUUUCCUUAUGUGGUCAAGUAGAUGUGUUUAUUUCAGCCUUAAAAUUGCUGAUGUCAGUGCUUGCUAUGGCAUCUGUGGCUUCACCGGUUAUAUUUAAGGAGUUUUGUCCCUUAUAUUAUCUUCUCAAUGCCAUUCCUACAAAGGUCCAAAAAGGCUUUCGCUCUGUUGUGGUAUACCUCACAGCACUUGAUACCAAUGGAGACUACAUUGCCGUGGGGAGCAGCAUUGGAAUGCUUUAUCUCUACUGCAGACAUUUAAACCAGAUGAAAAAAUAUAAUUUUGAGGGGAAGUGUGAAUCUAUUACUUUUGUAAAGCUGUUGAGUUGUUUCGAUGAUCUAGUCGCUGUUGGUACAGCCUCAGGUCGGGUUGCGGUUUUUCAGCUUGUGUCUUCAUUGCCUGGAAGAAACAAACAGCUUCGGAGAUUUGAUGUUGCUGGUAUCCACAAAAGUAGUAUAACAGCUUUAGCUUGGAGUCCCAAUGGAAUGAAAUUAUUCUCGGGAGAUGACAGAGGGAAGAUUGUCUACUCUGCCCUAGACCUAGACCAGGGUAUUUGCAACUCCAGCCUUGUAUUGGAAGAGCCAUCUUCAAUUGUGCAGUUGGAUUACAACCAGAAAGUGCUGCUUGUCUCUACUUUACAACGGACUCUACUUUUUUACACAGAAGAGAAAUCUGUGAAGCAAGUCGGAACACAGCCCAGAAAAAACACUGGCAAAUUUGGGGCAUGUUUUAUACCUGGCCUAUGUAAACAGAGUGACCUGACGCUAUUUGCUGCCAGACCUGGGCUUCGUCUCUGGAAGGCUGAUGUUCAUGGAACUGUUCAGGCCACAUUCAUAUUGAAAGAUGUAUUUGCUGGAGGAAUAAAAACUUUUGAACUGUAUCCUCGUUUGGAACCACCUGACAGAGGAAGUUACAGCUCCCCAGAGAAACACCUUGGGCUUGUUUCGUGCUUUUUCCAAGAAGGAUGGGUCCUGACCUGGAAUGAAUACAGCAUCUACUUACUAGACACUGUGAACCAGGCUUUGAUUGGUGGCUUGGAAGGAUAUGGUGAUAUUGUGUCUGUGUCCUGUACCAACAAUGAGAUUUUUCUCUUAAAGGGAGAUAGAGACAUAAUAAGAAUUUCAAGUAGACCUGAAGGACUGUCAUCAAUAGUUUCAGAUGUGAAUUCAAAAUUGCUGAAUCCUUUAACGGAUACGAGUCCUAAAUUGCUGACCCCGUUAUCAGUAGUUGCAUCUGUAUCAUCUAGCCCUUCAGUGGAAACAGAUAAAAAAAUGGUUACUUCCCCCUCAGUUAUGGAUGAUAAAAAUUACUCUUAUUCUUUAGUGAAAGAUGAUCUGGAAACUCCAACGCUAUCAGAGAAAAGUUUUGAUAGAGUGGGAGACUUGAGCAGUGAGACAAGAAAAAGGGUCUGCUCUGUAGUAAGUGAAUCAAGAAGCAGGAGCAGUUCAGUAAAUUCUGUGGACAGUGGCUCUAGCUUUAUGAUAUGUGCAGACCAACUUUCAGAAGCUCAGAGAGAAGGUCAACUUCCUUCACAACGGUUCAGCACAAUCAGCUCUGAAGAUUUUGAUCAAGAACUGAUUGUAAAGCCAAUUAAAGUAAAAAAGAAAAAAAAGAAGAAACAGGAAAGCGGGACCAGGAAAACCCACAGCUCUCUGGAAGGUACACCAAUUUAUGAGCGUCAGCUUUCUGGUGAUAGUCCACAUUCAUUGAAUGCAGACUCCUUUUCCAUGACUUCCAGCCUAAUGAGUGGCAGCAUUGAUCAUUUGAGUACUGGAUCUCCAGAUCAGGAAAGCAUGUUCAGUGUGGAGUCCCAUACAAUGUUGCAAGAAGAUAACUGUUCAGAAACUUUCAGUGUCCUACAGUCUCCUGAGUCUGCGACUAUACUAAUUAAUGAAGAAAAUGGAGAUACGGUUGAUUUACAGAAACUACCAAACAGUGAUAGUGGCAUGGGUACUUCAGCUAUUAUAGACACUUCAACAUCUGUCUCUCCUCUAAUCAUUACAGAAGACUUGACGAGCAGUGUUGAUGGUGAAUAUAAUGGUAGUGUGGUUUCUGCAAGCAAUGAAUGCUGUCUUGGAAAGCUGAGCCAACAGGAGGAGCAGGAUUUCCCUACACUGUGUAAAAUAGAUGAAAACUUAGAUAAAAUGGAGCUGCAGGACACUGAAAAAUCUUUUGAAGAGCCAGACCUUACAGACCAAAUGUUUUUGGAAUGUGACAGUGUACUUGGUGUUCAGAAAUCGCUGACACCAAAGGAAAGUGGUGAAACUGGUAGGGAAGACCAACAGCAACUCUCUCUAAUACACAGCGCUCUGGCAGAUCCUUCUGUGCUCCACUUUGACAUCUCUAACGAUGUUUAUUCAGAUAACAGUUCCAUUUCUGGAUGGAAUUUUCAAAGUGCAAUCAAAGCUAAAUCUAGUACUAGCACUGCUGAAUGGGUAACAGAUACUCAUGAAAGUAAGACUGAGAAAUCUGCCUCAAGUGAUGAAGAGGAUAUUUAUGGACAUGGAUUACCGUAUUCAUCCUCAGAGACUAGCAUGCCUGAAGUUGGUGCUGGGCUUGGUUCCCAGGAUGUGGCCAAGAUAAGCCUAGAUGAAAUGGUGCUGUUAAAAUCUGAUCAGUUUGCAGAGAGCUGGAUGGGAUACUCUGGCCCUGGUUAUGGCAUCCUGAGCCUGGUAGUCUCCGAAAAAUAUAUUUGGUGCCUGGACUACAGAGGCAGCCUGUACUGCAGUGCCCUUCCCGCGGCCGGGCUGCGGUGGCAGAAGUUUGAGGAUGGUGUCCAGCAGGUGGCAGUUUCCCCCUCAGGGGCUCUUCUCUGGAAGAUCGAACAGAAGACUAACAAAGCAUUUGCUUGUGGAAAAGUAACUAUAAAAGGAAAACGCCACUGGUAUGAGGCUUUACCCCAGGCUGUAUUUGUAGCUUUAAGUGAUGACACCGCCUGGAUUAUCAGAACAAAUGGAGAUCUGUAUCUGCAAACAGGCCUGAGUGUGGAUCGUCCUUGUGCCCGAGCAGUAAAGGUUGACUGCCCUUAUCCACUGUCGCAGGUUACAUCCAGAAAUAAUGUUGUGUGGGCAUUGAGUGAGCAGCGGGCCCUGCUAUACCGGGAAGGAGUAAGCAGCUUUUGUCCUGAAGGAGAACAAUGGAAGAGCGAUAUCGUCAGUGAAAUGCAAGCUUUGGAACCAGUGUGCAUAACCCUUGGAGAUCAGCAGACAUUAUGGGCUUUGGAUAUCCAUGGAAAUCUGUGGUUCAGAACUGGUAUAGUUUCAAAGAAACCACAAGGAGAUGAUAACCAUUGGUGGCAAGUAAGCAUCACUGAUUAUGUAGUGUUUGACCAGUACAGCCUGUUUCAGACAAUAAUCCAGGCAACUCAUACAGUGGCAACAGCAGCUCAGGCACCUGUGGAGAAGGUGGCUGAUAAGCUUCGAAUGGCAUUUUGGUCACAGCAGCUUCAGUGUCAGCCCAGCCUCCUUGGAGUUAAUGGCAGUGGAGUCUGGAUCUCUUCAGGCAAAAAUGAAUUCCAUGUGGCAAAGGGAAACUUAAUAGGCACUUACUGGAAUAAUAUUGUGCCUCGUGGUACUGCUUCUGCCACAAAAUGGAUUUUUGUGUUGGCUUCCACAGCUUCAUCUAAAGAAGGAAGCUUUCUGUGGCUAUGCCAAAGCAACAAGGAUCUGUUUUGUGUCAGUGAUCAGAAUCCUCAGUUCCGUCCUUCUACGGUGCAGCUGCCACCAGAGGCUGAAAUGGUGCACUACUCGGCCUGCCAGGAUGCCAUUUGGGGUUUGGAUAGUCUUGGGCAGAUAUUUAUCAGAACGCUUUCAUCCAGCUGUCCAACAGGCAUGCACUGGACAAAACUGGAUCUCUCUCAACUAGGUGCUGUAAAGCUGAUCAGCUUGACCUGUGGAAAUCAGCAUGUUUGGGCCUGUGACACUGGUGGUGGCAUUUAUUUCCGUGUAGGAACUCAGCCUUUUAACCCAAGUUUGAUGCUUCCUGCGUGGAUAAUGAUUGAACCACCUAUACAGCCAGUAGGAAUCAACUUGGUCAGCAUUCAUUCAAGUCCAAAUGAUCAGAUGUUGUGGGCAAUUGAUAACAAAUGGAAUGUCCAUGUACGAGUUGGAAUUACAGAUGAAAUGCCUGUAGGCACUGACUGGGAGCAUGUACCAGGUUUGCAGGCUUGUCAGCUGGCUAUAAGUACAAGGACUGUUUGGGCACGCUGUCCUAAUGGAGAUGUAGCUCGUCGAUAUGGCAUUACUGACAAGAAUCCAGCAGGAGACUACUGGAAGAAGAUUCCUGGGAAUGUCUCACGUUUAACAGUGACCCCUCUAGAUGAACUGUGGGCGAUCAGUACUUCAGGAUCCCUUCUCCAGCGCCUCACUAAGACCUUUAGCCAUUCCCAUAGUUUGCAGAAAAAUAACGACGCUUCUGUUCUGCUUCACCCUGACGACUUUGAAGAUGAAUGGGAAGUGAUAUGAAGUUUCUUGAGCUUGUGAAGCAGUGAAAAACACAGGAGGACAGAAUUUCUGUAAUGGAGUCUACACAAGAUUUGUUUGGUAUCUGAGCAACCAGUUUCUAAAGCAUCAAAUCCCAAGCAGAGGCAGGAAAGGCUUCUUUUGAUUCUGGAACAAAAGACUUCCGAAUACCCUCCCAGUACAGUGCCACUUCUCCAUGCAUGAGCUGAAAAUGCUGAAAAUGUGAAUAGAUGCAGAUCCAGACUACCAGCUGGGACUUGCCACCUCCCAAAGUGAGUGCUCAGUACUGCUUAGCACCCUCUGAAAGGCACAUGCAUUUGCUUCGCAGAGCUUUUCUUUUUGAGUUGGAGGUGGGCAGAGCCAAGCUCUGUGUCUCUCCUCCCCUAUUCUGCCUGGCUUUAGCUUGGGAAGUGACUCCCCCGCUAUCAGGGGCAGCAAGGCAAUUUGCUCCCCCUUUUUCUCCUGCAAUCAUUCAGCAGAAGUGGAAAUGGGAUGGGAACACAUGGGAGUCCCGCUGUUUGAGCAAAGCACAGAGGAUUGUGAUUCCCGUUUUGGCCCCGGCAGGCUUAGCUGUGCAGUAGAGAGAAACAUGUGCUUGUUAACUCCCCGACUUGUACAAGCAAAAUGCUGUUUGCUGGUGCAGCGUGGACUGCUGCAGGGCAUGAGCUGCUGCUUGCUGGCUUCGUGUUGAGUGAAUGCUUCUGAGACUUGAGGAGUUAAGGGCCACUGCUGUGGCCACUGCGGGGCAAUACUGAACCAGAGACCCCUGGCGAUAAGAAUAUUUGCUGAUAUUACUUGAGAAAAAGCUCGAGCUCCGAAGCUGGGAUUUAACUGCUCUAUUCUCUCUAAACUGGUAGGGGAGGAGAUGUGAUGUGAGUUUGCUGUUUGUCCUGUGGGCAGUGCAUCUGUACCACAGGCCUAUUAUUGCUAGGCAUACCUAAGCAUGCACAUAAGCUGAUACCACGUGGUAGCAAAGAAUUAGGCCCUCAAGUUCUCACAAUGUUCAUGAUGCAAGUGGUGUGGGCCUUGGUCCCAUUGUCUGUCUGGCUGUGCUGUCCUUCUCGACCUCCAGGUGCCUCCUACUCGGUGCUUCUCCAGGGACCUGAUCUCACUGGGGAACUGGGACAUAGAAAAUCUCUUCAACAGUGAAGGACAGCUUGGAUGCUGGCCAUGCUCUUCGCCCAUCUCUGUGCUGGCAGCGUGCUUCCCCUGCACCCUAGGAGCAGGGGUGUAAGUAGUGCUGGAAGGGGCCAGUGGCAGAUGAGUCCGGGGACAGGCUGUACGGGGUGAGACAGCUUUAUUCCUGAGAGAAGGGAUGGAGGGUGGAGUGUCUUCCACUGCACACCCAGUCUGGGGUGACAACCCUCAGGAGAAGCCAUAGUUCCCUGAGAGAUCAGACUGACUGGAGUAAAGGGUUGUGAGGAGAUACACCUGAGUCUUUCACCUAGAGCUUGAUACCACAGCGCUGGCUGAUAGGGUGACAGCUUGCUUGACCUGUCCUGAAGGUUGGGAUGAUGGUGCUGAAUGUGAACUGGCCAUCUCUGGCCAGCACGUCGUACAGAGCUCCAGUGCCCCAGCCGAUGCUCUCCGUAGCGAAGGCAACCAGGGUGAUACGUACGCUACCUUGUCUGUGCAGCUGGCAUUUCACUUUGAAGGAAAUGAUACUGGUUUAUCCUUCAAAAUACUCUACCCGCCGAGUGACUCAGUGAGUGACUCCCCUGGUCUGCGCUCCCGGCAGCUCUUACCUCAGGGCUGUCUCCACAGGUGUUUUUCUGCCAGGGCGUUCUUGGUCUGACCACAGCUGUGGUGCGGCUGCUGGCAGGGAAGAUGAGGUGGCAGCAAAGCUGAGUCAAACCCCGAACAUCUGACGGAGGAGGCAGACCUAAGGGCGUGCCACACUCUUCCUGCUAGUGUGUGAGUGUUUCCCCUUGCCAGCACUGAGAGCUGUGCAGUGGCUUUUUGUCAGACAGCUGUGGCCCUACUGCACUCUAGUUUUCCUAAGCCCUGUGAUCCCUGAGGUUCCAGCAUCCCUCCUGCUGGGCAAGCCUGCAAAUGUGUUUCAGUGAAAGAAGCAAUGUGCCCCUCCCCUCACAGGAGCGGGCCACCUCCAUGACUAGUUCAAUACUUCUGCCCAGCCUGCCUUUGGCCAUAGCCCUUUCUGUGCAUGUCAUUGACAAAGGGCUGAAAUCAGUCUGAGAGUCUACGGCUACAUCCUUCUGUCCCGUCACUUUGGGUCACUACCCAUCAAUAGCUUUCCUUAUUGCAGGAGUGGGAGAGAGGGGGAGAGCACUAGCAGAUGGUUUUGGAGGAAGGGACAUUCAAAAACUCAGCUCCUCAAGGGACUUCGUUCUCUCUCUUACUGUGAGUUAGAAAUUACUUAUCCUUUUAGGCUUUGCUCUAAAAUGCUGCCUCAAACAUUGUCAGGGAAAUGACACCGCAUUAAAAAUAUGAAUGUCAUGUAUUGUAAUGUGUUUACUAUAAUUUACUUGCACCAUUAAAAAGAAGAACCCUAAUGAUUAUAAAAUUAAGCCUGAAUAUUAAAAACAUGAUGCCACCCCACCCGCCCCCGCCCCUUACAUCAAAACAGCAAUUACCCCUGGGACUGGAACAAAGGAGCAGCGGGACAGUUCUGGGCAGGGGAGCUCUGCUGGCUGAGAGAGAAGAUGGGGCUGCCAGUGUUCCAGAGUAGGGGUCUGUGGACACUGCCCGAUCACUGGUGUGGGAGGUGGGAGGACACGCAAUUUGCCCUCAAGGCAGCGAGGCUGUGGGAGAGGAGCCAUGGUGCUGGUGGCGAAUGGUGCAGGGAUCGAGGAGCCAAGUGGCAGGGAGGACUCUGUCCUCCUCAGAGCUGGAAGCUGCUCCCUGUCCUGGCUGAGGCGUGCAGCCAAGUGCUUUCUGCCUGGAAGCCUCACUCUUCACUUGGCCUCUUUCCAUUGCUUUCCACAGAGAACCCUAAGGGAAGAGCUCGGCUGGCCCCCAUGCCUUGCUCAUCUCCCUGUUGCGAUCCAUGGAGCUUUCUGCCCUUGUGCUUGCCUUAGGUGGGGAGUGCAGGAAAGGGGAGACUGGCCCGUGGUCUCCCCUCAUAUCCCAGGCACGCAGGUCUCACCACAGCUUAGAAGAAUGGGUUGCGUCAGGCCUGAGUUUGGGAAUUGAACUUUCCUGAAGAGGAAGGGUUGAUUUGCACUGUGUGUCCCGUUAGAUUUGUAGUACAGGAAACAUAACAUACAGUGGCUGGUGUGACUGGAGCUGACACAGGGUCCCAAUUUACUGGCUCAGACUCUUGCUGAAACUUGCUCAGAGAGCUGAAGCCCAAGCACAGAACAUCUGCUUUCCCUGCUUCUCUGAGGUGGGUCUCUGCCUCCCUCCUUGCUGGCUCAGAUCCAUUCCGGUCAAUUCUCUCAUUUGCAUUAGGAAGUGAUUAAUUUUUCUACAGAAGAAGGAGGCAGAGUUGAUGGCAGAGGACGUUUUGUGGUUUAGGGACGGACAAGAGGUUGAGAUGGUCUGGAUGGGACCUUUGCUUGGCUCAGCUGCAAGUUCCUCAGAGAGCCUUGGAUGCUCCACUGUUCUGUAAGGCUGGACUUAAAGCAGAUACUGCAAAUCAAUCAGAUAUGAUAGGCCGAGCAUGGGAGUGGCUGGCCUGUGUCAUACACAAUUUAGAUUAGAUGACUAGACUCUCCUGACUUUAGCAAUAAUUCCUAAACAUGACGAGUGUCUCAUUGUUUGAGGCUUCUGAAGAUUUGCUUCUUUGAUUUAUGUGAUCCUUCCAUUUGUCAACUAAACCACUGGGCAAAGAGAUACCGGUCGUUUCAGAGGUCAUCAGGGCAAGUGGGGGGAACCUUUUAUCUCAGCUGAACUCGGAUCCAUUUCUUUUAGUAGCAGUGAGGGAUCUCUGAUUUUUUUGCAAACUGUAUUUCUGUUUUCUGCUAUGACUGCUGAGUUACAUUUUGCAAGAGAGGUCUGCUCCUUCUGUUCUUGUGCUACUCGUGCACGUGUACCUGCUUGGUGGAAAGAGCAGGAGUAAAUCAGUGCAAGCAGCAGCCUUGCAACACCAUAGAUGUGAUUCUUGUGCAGGAUAAUAGAGGACAGUCUGAUGUGGUCUAAGCAAGUAAUAGGCAGAGUUUCUUUUUCACACAUUGUAGGUGGAGAGACCACUGAAGCCAGGCUGGGAAGUUGGUGAUCAAACCUCAGGCAGCUGCUGACACCAACCAGUGAUGGAAGUACUGUUAUUAACGUAGGUGUUAUGAAAAUUGGUUUGCAAGGAUUUACAGUGCUGUUUAAAUAUUAAGCACGUGGCAUGGGUGCCUUGUUUGCUUAGUGGGGAGCAUUGACCUGAAGAUGGGGUGAUGCAAUGCACAAUGAUCUGCUGAUGUCAACAGAUUUGUUAUAUUGCAAGUCAAAACCCCAUACGACUUGAACACCAGACACAGGAUAAAUAGAGAUUAAGAAACAAACCUGGCACCAUGGCCCAUUUCCAGUCUGUCUUUCCAUGCCUCUGUGCUGGAUCUUUGUCAUUGCUAUUUUCAGCUUCAUUUUCAAACCAGCCUGUAAAGCGCUACCUAUAGCCGAGGCCGACUCUCCUGGUGGCAGGUCUUGCUCUCGGUGGUUUCCUGCUUCCUUUUCUCCUUUACUUAACGCCUGCCUUCGUUCGCAAGACUCGUCCACACAGAGGAGCCUGUUCAUUAACAGCCCUGUUUCUCUCCUUCUGAAACUAUGAAACCCUUACCUGUCUGCAGGAGAUAUUCUUUGUGCGGUGCUGAGUGUUAAGCUGAUGUUAGGCUUGAUAUUCCAUAUCUAUGCAUAUUCAUAAAGUUAGUGAUUUUCAGGUGCGCUUAAUGUCUGCAUCUUCUGACAAAUUUAAGGUGCCCACCUCUAGUGAUGCUCAUACCAGGCUGUGACCGUGGCAAGAACAAGGAUGCAGCUUUUAUGGCAGGACAGUACAUCGGAGAGCAAGACUGAGAUUGAUGUUAAAGGGAUUUUUUUAGACUAUUUAAACCACCUAGUUUUGUGUUCACAACAAUUUGAAUUUUUUGACUACUUAAUAUUUUGGGUAAAAGAAGGCCGUUAAAGAUCCAAAAUGCCUCUUUUAAACGAGUUACUCAAAAUUACAAUAGAAUUCAGCUCCUUCAGCAGACUAGACAGGCUAAACUUUGGAACUGCUGAAAGGAGCUGCAGAGAGGAGUCAAUUGCAAAGAGUCAAAAAUGAAAGUAACCUGGUACUCAGUCCCUUGCUUUCUGAAUGAAAGUGUUUCAGGCCUUUUUUACCUGUCACAGCAAAUAAAAUCACUUGGUGCUGAAAGGUGGGUUGUAUAAGAAUAUUUUGUUUUGAAAGUGCUUGAGCAACACGUGGGAAAUACUUACUUGACCGCUGCUUCAUGAUAGUAAGUAGUUUUUUAGAGGAAUGUAACUAAGCUUUUUGGGAAUGCUGGCUCUAUAUACUGCCUUACAUGCUUUUGAAAGCAUUUCCUACAGACGAGUAAUUUGCCUUGUGUGACCAGAUUAACCUGUGCAGGUAAGACAGAAGUUUUUAAGUAUAUGUCCUUAUGCUUGUGCUCUCAUGGUGUUAGGAUUUCAUGAGUCUUCUUUCCCACACCUUUGUGGCCAGCUCCCUGACUCUAGCACUGGCAGUCCUCUUCUGCAGAGACAUAAUGACUGUCCAUGUUUGCUUUAUUAAGCUUGUCCACGGUGUUGCAACUGGCACUAACUGGCAUUUUUGCUGUCAGCCUUUGCCAAGAGACGGAGAACUGAACGGGCUGUGAAGCCUGCACUCCACUGUGCUCCAAAGGUGGCAGAGGACAGAGACAUGCUGGCAAGUGAAUCUGAGGAAAGCUGAUGCCACUGUUGCUUGGUCUGUAAACAAAGGACUUCUGUUUCCAAACCCGAGAAACCCCAGCCUUUUUCCAAGCUGUGACUCUGUUUGAAAAACAAGCCUGGACCCAGUUGGGUGAGUGAUCUCUGUCAUCACCAUGUAGUUUGCCCGCAGUUCUUCUCAUCCUCUCCAGAUUAAGUAUCCCAGACACAUCCAACGACCCACAUGCAGCAAGGUCUGUCAGUGACCUUCAGCAGAGUGAUCCCAGCAUGGGCUCGGCAAUAGGCUUGACUUCUGUCCUAGAAUAACAGGAGGGGUACAGCAGUUAGCUGACUUUGGACUCAUCACGGUGUAUUGAGGGGACCCUUUCCGUUUGUUAAAGUGAAUUACCCAAGAGCUGGUGGGAGGGCUGCGGGGAAUCACAGGGGCAGCUUUGGCCUUGAAUUCUUGUUUGUUAUCGGGCCCAUUUUAAGGUGUAGGGUGUCCUGCCCAGCCUGUCAAGCUGUUCCAAUCCGUAAUUGCCAUCACAGCCUGGGAGCAGGAGUGUCUUCCAGCACUCAGUUCAACUAACCAACUCCCCACUGCUGAAUCUCAUUAUGUCUUUGUCAGCAAGGCUGAUAAACCUUGUCUCCCACCCCCAGCUCUGUCUCUUCCCCCACCUCAAGACACUUUUCCAUGUGCAAGUUAGACCUGACUGCUUUAAUUCUCAUCUGUUUUGGAAGACGCUUCCCCCCCAUUAUUACAGAAGCAAUGGGGAAUGUGUACUUAAACAAAGAAUUUAGCAGCAUAGACUUUUACAUUUUUUUUAAGUAGCUAAGCGAGGGAUUAAUUCUUUGGAAUUCUGUAUUUUUAUUAUCAACAAGGUAGCUGAAGAGAACAGUUAGAGUUGUUCUAUGCUUUCCAGCAAGGGACAUAAAUUUCCCAUGGUAAUUAGUUUGAGCAUGUAUCAGCUUGGUUUCUUGGGAAAAAGGAACAUUUGCUCUUCUAGGAAACAUUUUCGGUGCCAUCAGUCUAAGAAUAGCAAUCUUCUUUCUGGUGCAUCUCAAAUUUCAGAAGUAUGGCUUGUCUUGUAUUGUGCAUGCAAUAUGGAGAUUAUUUUAGAUGAAAUAUCACUCUGUUCAGCUGAAGCAUGAACAGCUUAUAGUGCCUCAUUCUGUGGUUUUCAUUCCUUUUUUUUUCCCCUAACCAAAAUUAAUUCACGAAUAAAGAAAUUUGUGCCUUGAA